UUUCAAGGUUCUGUGCUUUGAUGUUUUAAGGGUUCUGUGCUUUGAUCUUUCAGGGUUCUGUGCAUUGAUGUUUCAGAGUUCUGUGCUUUGAUCUUUCAGGGUUCUGUGCAUUGAUGUUUUAAGGGUUCUGUGCUUUGAUGUUUCAGGGUUCUGUGCUUCGAUGUUUCAGGGUUCUGUGCAUUGAUGUUUUAAGGGUUCUGUGCAUCGAUGUUUUAAGGGUUCUCUGCUUUGAUGUUUCAGGGUUCUGUGCUUUGAUGUUUCAGGGUUCUGGAACAUAGUUGCAGAUGCCGUGUUGAUUGCUUGAUGUUUUAAGGGUUCUGUGCUUUGAUGUUUCAGGGUUCUGUGCUUCGAUGUUUCAGGGUUCUGUGCAUUGAUGUUUUAAGGGUUCUGUGCAUCGAUGUUUUAAGGGUUCUCUGCUUUGAUGUUUCAGGGUUCUCUG